rnacentral:rRNA from 1 species
GUGAGUAACGCGUAAGAACCAGCCCUUUGGAGGGGAACAACAACUGGAAACGGUUGCUAAUACCCCGUAGGCUGAGGAGCAAAAGGAGAAAUCCACCCAAGGAGGGGCUCGCGUCUGAUUAGCUAGUUGGUGAGGCAAUAGCUUACCAAGGCGAUGAUCAGUAGCUGGUCCGAGAGGAUGAUCAGCCACACUGGGACUGAGACACGGCCCAGACUCCUACGGGAGGCAGCAGUGGGGAAUUUUCCGCAAUGGGCGAAAGCCUGACGGAGCAAUGCCGUGUGGAGGUGGAAGGCCUACGGGUCGUCAACUUCUUUUCUCGGAGAAGAAACAAUGACGGUAUCUGAGGAAUAAGCAUCGGCUAACUCUGUGCCAGCAGCCGCGGUAAU